UAGAGUUUGAUCCUGGCUCAGGACGAACGCUGGCGGCGUGCUUAACACAUGCAAGUCGAACGGUAAGGCCCCUUCGGGGGUACACGAGUGGCGAACGGGUGAGUAACACGUGGGUAAUCUGCCCUGCACUUCGGGAUAAGCCUGGGAAACCGGGUCUAAUACCGGAUAUGAACUCCUGCCGCAUGGUGGGGGUUGGAAAGUUUUUCGGUGCAGGAUGAGCCCGCGGCCUAUCAGCUUGUUGGUGGGGUAAUGGCCUACCAAGGCGACGACGGGUAGCCGGCCUGAGAGGGUGAUCGGCCACACUGGGACUGAGACACGGCCCAGACUCCUACGGGAGGCAGCAGUGGGGAAUAUUGCACAAUGGGCGAAAGCCUGAUGCAGCGACGCCGCGUGGGGGAUGACGGUCUUCGGAUUGUAAACCCCUUUCAGUAGGGACGAAGCGCAAGUGACGGUACCUGCAGAAGAAGCACCGGCUAACUACGUGCCAGCAGCCCCGGUA
rnacentral:rRNA from 1 species